CUGAUGCAGCCAUGCCGCGUGUAUGAAGAAGGCCUUCGGGUUGUAAAGUACUUUCAGUCGUGAGGAAGGUGGCGUAGUUAAUAGCUGCAUUAUUUGACGUUAGCGACAGAAGAAGCACCGGCUAACUCCGUGCCAGCAGCCGCGGUAAUACGGAGGGUGCGAGCGUUAAUCGGAAUUACUGGGCGUAAAGCGCAUGCAGGUGGUUUGUUAAGUCAGAUGUGAAAGCCCGGGGCUCAACCUCGGAAUAGCAUUUGAAACUGGCAGACUAGAGUACUGUAGAGGGGGGUAGAAUUUCAGGUGUAGCGGUGAAAUGCGUAGAGAUCUGAAGGAAUACCGGUGGCGAAGGCGGCCCCCUGGACAGAUACUGACACUCAGAUGCGAAAGCGUGGGGAGCAAACAGGAUUAGAUACCCUGGUAGUCCACGCCGUAAACGAUGUCUACUUGGAGGUUGUGGCCUUGAGCCGUGGCUUUCGGAGCUAACGCGUUAAGUAGACCGCCUGGGGAGUACGGUCGCAAGAUUAAAACUCAAAUGAAUUGACGGGGGCCCGCACAAGCGGUGGAGCAUGUGGUUUAAUUCGAUGCAACGCGAAGAACCUUACCUACUCUUGACAUCCAGAGAACUUUCCAGAGAUGGAUUGGUGCCUUCGGGAACUCUGAGACAGGUGCUGCAUGGCUGUCGUCAGCUCGUGUUGUGAAAUGUUGGGUUAAGUCCCGCAACGAGCGCAACCCUUAUCCUUGUUUGCCAGCGAGUAAUGUCGGGAACUCCAGGGAGACUGCCGGUGAUAAACCGGAGGAAGGUGGGGGACGACGUCAAGUCAUCAUGGCCCUUACGAGUAGGGCUACACACGUGCUACAAUGGCGCAUACAGAGGGC
rnacentral:rRNA from 1 species